rnacentral:rRNA from 1 species
UACGGAGGGUGCAAGCGUUAUCCGGAUUCACUGGGUUUAAAGGGUGCGUAGGUGGGUUGGUAAGUCAGUGGUGAAAUCUCCAGGCUUAACUUGGAAACUGCCAUUGAUACUAUCAAUCUUGAAUAUCGUGGAGGUCAGCGGAAUAUGUCAUGUAGCGGUGAAAUGCUUAGAUAUGGCAUAGAACACCAAUUGCGAAGGCAGCUGGCUACACGAAUAUUGACACUGAGGCACGAAAGCGUGGGGAGCGAACAGG